rnacentral:lncRNA from 1 species
CACGCGUGCCACCCAUCCCGCCAUGAGUCCAGCCGGAAUGACAGCCCACCACGGAAGGCAUAGAUGCGGCCACUGUCAUCAGAGGUGAUGGCCUGGAAGGGCUCCCCACUGCAGCGGUCACCAGCAUUGCCCCAUGAGGUGUUCCCAUGUCUGUGCCCUCGGCCAGGGCAGGGGAUGAAGUAGUCACGGAGAUCACGGGGGUACCCGGG